CUUGCGGGGGUUCCUAAAAUGCAAGUCGAGCGGACGGAUGGGAGCUUGCUCCCUGAAGUCAGCGGCGGACGGGUGAGUAACACGUGGGCAACCUGCCUGUAAAACUGGGAUAACUCCGGGAAACCGGGGCUAAUACCGGAUAACUCUUUUCCUCACAUGAGGAAAAGCUGAAAGAUGGUUUCGGCUAUCACUUACAGAUGGGCCCGCGGCGCAUUAGCUAGUUGGUGAGGUAACGGCUCACCAAGGCCACGAUGCGUAGCCAACCUGAGAGGGUGAUCGGCCACACUGGGACUGAAACACGGCCCAAACUCCUACGGGAGGCAGCAGUAGGGAAUCUUCCGCAAUGGACAAAAGUCUGACGGAGCAACGCCGCGUGAGUGAUGAAGGUUUUCGGAUCGUAAAACUCUGUUGUCAGGGAAAAACAAGUACCGGAGUAACUGCCGGUACCUUGACGGUACCUGACCAAAAAGCCACGGCUAACUACGUGCCAGCAGCCGCGGUAAUACGUAGGUGGCAAGCGUUGUCCGGAAUUAUUGGGCGUAAAGCGCGCGCAGGCGGUUCCUUAAGUCUGAUGUGAAAGCCCCCGGCUCAACCGGGGAGGGUCAUUGGAAACUGGGGAACUUGAGUGCAGAAAAGAAGAGUGGAAUUCCACGUGUAGCGGUGAAAUGCGUAGAGAUGUGGAGGAACACCAGUGGCGAAGGCGACUCUUUGGUCUGUAACUGACGCUGAGGCGCGAAAGCGUGGGGAGCAAACAGGAUUAGAUACCCUGGUAGUCCACGCCGUAAACGAUGGAGUGCUAAGUGUUAGAGGGUUUCCGCCCUUUAGUGCUGCAGCAAACGCAUAGCACUCCGCCUGGGGAGUACGGCGCAGCCUGAACUCAAAGAUGACGGGUCCGCACAGCGAUGAGCAUGUGAUAGUCCGAAGCCACGCGAAGAACCUUAG
rnacentral:rRNA from 2 species